GGGGGCGACUGGUUUCGACAUGGUAUGUCCGAAAUGAGGAGCAGGUCGUGGUCUCCUCGCCACGUUAAACAGGGGUACCGUCAAUUUAAUUGGCAAGAACAACACUCAGAGCGCUCCUGCGCUCGCCAUGGCUGCUUAAACUGCGCCUGGCUGUCGUCCGCGGGAUGUCCCCGACUCGCGGUUCGGCAUCAACCUAGGGGAAUGCGCUUGAGCACGUAGCCAGUAUGGCUCAGGCAAAGGUUGAACUGGCUAGGAAGCGCACCGUUUGUUGGUGAACCUCGCGCAACCGAAUGCUGAUCGCCAACUAAGCUUGUAGAGCCUCAUGGACGAUAUAGUAUGGACCGGAGUUCGAUUCUCCGCGCCUCCACCA
rfam:Eggerthella sp. YY7918 DNA, complete genome.